GGGAGCGUGUCUCAGUAGGUAGAGUGCUUGCCUAGCAUGCAUGGGACCCUGGGUUCGGUCCCCAGCAGCACUCA
rnacentral:tRNA from 1 species